CACGUAGGGUGCGAGCGUUGUCCGGAAUUAUUGGGCGUAAAGAGCUCGUAGGCGGUGUGUCGCGUCGGCCGUGAAAACCUGCAGCUUAACUGUGGGCUUGCGGUCGAUACGGGCAUCACUGGAGUUCGGCAGGGGAGACUGGAAUUCCUGGUGUAGCGGUGAAAUGCGCAGAUAUCAGGGAGGAACACCGGUGGCGAAGGCGGGUCUCUGGGCCGA
rnacentral:rRNA from 1 species